rnacentral:lncRNA from 1 species
UGUUUUGGAUGAUGAGUGUUUUGGCAGUAAAAACCAAUCCACGUUUUCGGUAGAUCACCUAUUAUACACCCAGUAACCGGUAUCCUUGGUGUUUCUUACCAUGCGAGCAUAUUAUCUACGUUCUGACGGUAAUAGAUAAUACAUCUCAUGCGAGUAUUCUAUCCACGUUCUGACGGUAAUGGAUAUUAUAUCUCAUGCACUC